rnacentral:rRNA from 1 species
GACGAACGCUGGCGGCGUGCUUAACACAUGCAAGUCGAACGGCAAGGCCCUGCUUUUGUGGGGUGCUCGAGUGGCGAACGGGUGAGUAACACGUGAGUAACCUGCCCUUGACUUUGGGAUAACUUCAGGAAACUGGGGCUAAUACCGGAUAGGAGCUCCUGCUGCAUGGUGGGGGUUGGAAAGUUUCGGCGGUUGGGGAUGGACUCGCGGCUUAUCAGCUUGUUGGUGGGGUAGUGGCUUACCAAGGCUUUGACGGGUAGCCGGCCUGAGAGGGUGACCGGCGACAUGGGGACUGAGAUAGGGACCAGACUCCUACGGGAGGCAGCAGUGGGGAAUAUUGCACAAUGGGCGGAAGCCUGAUGCAGCAACGCCGCGUGCGGGAUGACGGCCUUCGGGUUGUAAACCGCUUUCGCCUGUGACGAAGCGUGAGUGACGGUAAUGGGUAAAGAAGCACCGGCUAACUACGUG